AAGUCGUAACAAGGUUUCCGUAGGUGAACCUGCGGAAGGAUCAUUACUGCUUGCUUACGGUUUCGUUCGGGCAACCGAGCGGGGCCGGGCACGCUACCCUUGCUUAUGUAUACCUAUUGUUAUUCCCUCGGCGGGGAGACCCGCCGCCGGGAUCAAUUAAACCCUUUUGUAUAAAGCAUCAAAACUUCUGAAAACAAAUUAAUAAUUACAACUUUUAACAAUGGAUCUCUUGGUUCUG
rnacentral:misc_RNA from 1 species